ACACAGGAAGUGAGAUGGUGCUGCACGAUGGGCCAUCUCUGUCUUCUCAAUUCAGAACCCAGCAGGAAGUGAUUCUUACCAGCAACUGCCAUGGGCUGUCAGGGGCUGAGAAGUCACAGCCACGAUGGGGAGAACACCCACUGGGGAGAAGACACAGAGCCGCAGUAUCCUAACCCAGCCCCAGCCUGCCCCACCCUACUCGGGGCUGACACUUCGCAGAGAUCACUGGAAGGACAUUCACACUGGAAGAGAGCUUCUCUGUGCAAGGCCGUCCUUCCAAAUCCUUCGUUCAUCCACCUGAUGAGAAAACUGAAGUUGAGAGCAGCCGAAGCCUGUGCUUGGGGAACACAGCCAUUGAGAAGCAGCCCUGGCUCUCUGGAACCCAUGCCCUCUUUACAGGCAGCGUGCAUGCCCAGUCUCUUCAGUCAUGUCUGACUCUUUGUGACUCUAUAGACUGUAACUCGCCAGCUCCUCUGUCCAUGGAAUUUUCCUGGCAAGAAUACUGGAGCGGGUUGCCAUGCCUUCCUGCAGAGGAUCUUUCCGACCCAUGGAUUGAACUCACGUCUCCUGCAUCUCCUGCUCUGCAGGCAGAUUCUUUACUACUGAGCCACCAGGGAAGCCCUUACAGGCAAGGUUCAAGGAUAACUUAUAUCUGCAUUCAGACCACCCUUGAAGAGGGUGGAUCCCUUAUAAACAGUGCAUGCUUUUGUGCUCAGCUGUGUCAGAUUCUGUGACCCCAUGGACUGUAGCCCACCAGGCUCCUCUGUUCACGGAAUUUUCCAAGCAAGAAUACUGGAGUGGGUUGCCAUUUCCUUCUCCAGGGGAUCUUCCCGACCCAGGGAUCAAACCCAGGUCUCCUGGAAGUCUCCUGCAUUGACAAGAGGAUUCUUUACCACUAAGUCACCUGGAAAGCCGCCUGUAAACAGUAGGUGCUCAGUAAAUGCCACUUCCUCUCUCCGAUCCUUAGGUGAGUUUAAAUUUGUUGCUGUUCAGUCACUCAGUCGUGCCCGACUCUUUCUGACCCCAUGGAUUGCAGCUCGCCAGGCUUCCCUGUCCUUCACCGUCUCCCCGAGCUUGCUCAAACUCAGGUCCAUUGAGUCGGUGAUGCCAUCCAAGCAUCUUCUCUAGUUCUAGCACUAUAAAACUGUGAAUAUUUGGGUGCUGCUAUACAAAAGGUGACCAGCAGAUGGCAGAAUUGAGCUUUCCCGGCUCCUAACGUCCCUAUCGCAAGGAUAAGGGGAGAAAAGUUGGUUGUCCUUUUGCCAUCUCCGAACUCCGGAAUGCCUCCGAAAUGCCCAUUGCUCCCGUUUGAAGCACCGUCCUCCUACUCCUUUGGUGAAAAGAUGUAGUGAGCAUCUGCAGAAGCUGCAGUUUGGGACACGCUGGUGGAAGAGCACAGGGAAAUCCAACAAGGACUUUAACCUUUUACUCUCUGCGUGUGCUCGGUCUUGCCCAACUGUUCGCGACCUGAUGGGCUGCAGCCCGCCAGGCUCCUCUGUCCAUGGGAUUCUCCAGGCAAGGAUACUGGAGUGCGUUGCCAUUUCCUUCUUCAGGGGAUCUUCCUGACUCUGGGAUCGGAACCCUCCUUGGAGGCUUAAAAUGCUGGUGUAAAACAGUUGCAGGGAAAGUGACUGACUUAAGGUUCCAGUUUUCGCUUGGGGAAACUGAGGCUCAGAGAGCCAAGGUGAUGUGCUCCGGAACACACAGCUAGGUCAGAUUUUCUGGCUCCUCAUUCAAGGGACCAGGUUAGUUUCUCAAAGGCAAAAUCUACUCUGAAGGCACUUUCAGUUCACAUACGCAGACAGGAAAUCUGCAAGUUAAAAAAUAAUUCAGAAUGCCCCACCUCCCCGCAAAAGUUCAGUGCUUUGUGGAGGUUUUCCUGUAGUUGCCUUGGAUCCAUAGAGGAGCCUACAUUUGGAUAACUUCCCCUCCAAGUGCUCUUCACCUGAGGUCUGUGAACACCCUAGGAGUAGUAUCCCCUCCCAACCCCAACAAGCAAAGGAAAUUAUCUAUAUAUGAGCACAUGCAUGAGCAUAUGGAUCCACACUAAUUAUGUUCCCAGCUUUCUUCAAAUGCCCCAAGGUGUCUGUGCUAGUUAUUCAUGUAUUAUUCCUCAACUCCAAGUUCACUCACCAAUACCUACUCUGUGAUAAUGGGCAGAAUUCCCACAGGUGACUCUCCUCUACAGUGAGCAUAAAUGCUAUAACGUAAGCUUUCUUAGGAGAGGGUGCUGGGAGAACACCACAGGAGGAAGGGGCAGUUCUUGCUGGUUUGGGCAGGCGUAGGCAUCUGUGGUGCUCUGCCCCAGCCAUGUGCCCAGAAGGGCCUCCAGUGACUUUUGCAGUCCUGCCUGGCCUGGUGAUCACUUUCCCAUGACCCUCCCAAUACAGACACUGUAUGUUCUGUGCCACCUGCCUACACCGCCACUCAACUCCCUCUAUCUGUCCACAUACCCACCUACCAGGUUGCUUUCUGCUUGUCCAGCAGAUGCCAAUUAGCUUUGGCCCAGGCACCAGCUAAUCUCUCUGCCUCCAGUGGGGCCAUGACACCUCCUCCAGCAAGGUUUGAUCCCCAGCCUGGGGAGGGACCUCCUUCAUGGGCCCUCUUUCUCAGCUGAAGGAAGAGUAGCCCUACAGGGGUCCACUUACGUUUUAGAUAUUUAUGAUGUGUCCUUAGUAUUGUCUCUUUGUGACCCAGGGACUGUAGCCCACUAGGCUCCUCUGUCCAUGGGAUUUUCCAGCAGGAAUACUGGAGUGGGUUGCCAUUUCCUCCUCCAGGGGAUCUUCCCAACCCAGGGAUUGAACCCUGCAUCGGCAGGUGGAUUCUUUACCGCUAGCUCCACCAGGAAGACUUUACAUCCUAUAGUUACUCUUUGAUCAUAGUGUAUGUAAUACUCUUCAUAUCAAACUUCCAUUUCUUAAACCCUAUGUGGUUUCUGCCUCCUGAUUGGACCCGGAGUGAUACUUGUGUACUUGUGGCCCUUAAAAUAUUAAGAUCCAUCUGAUCUAGCCCCAGAUAUAACAAAAAUAUAAAACUCACAGCUCCCUGCUGAGCACACAGAGAACAAUGUGUUACUACCAUAUGUUGGGGAUGGAGGUCAGUUUCCCUGUUGCCACAGAAGGUUGGCAGCUCUGGACAAUCUCCCUUACAUGGUCUCUCUGGCCUGCUUAGCUUAGCUGCAUGCUCUCUGGUGGAGCAGUAAAAUAACGAGCAAUUAAGAGCAUCAUUUACAGAGCACACAUUUCAAAUGGCAUGCAAGGGUUUUAUGUGUACUAUUAGCUCCAUUUUACAGAUGG
rnacentral:lncRNA from 1 species